rnacentral:rRNA from 1 species
UACAGAGGUCUCAAGCGUUGUUCGGAUUCAUUGGGCGUAAAGGGUGCGUAGGCGGCGCGGUAAGUCGGGUGUGAAAUUUCGAGGCUUAACUUCGAAACUGCAUUCGAUACUGCCGUGCUUGAGGACUGGAGAGGAGACUGGAAUUUACGGUGUAGCGGUGAAAUGCGCAGAUAUCAGGAAGAACACCCGUGGCGAAGGCGGUUCUCUGGGACGGUACUGACGCUGAGACGCGAAAGCGUGGGGAGCGAACAGG